UACGGGGGGGCAAGCGUUGUUCGGAAUUACUGGGCGUAAAGGCUCGUAGGUGGCCAACUAAGUCAUACGUGAAAUCCCUCGGCUUAACCGGGAACUGCGUCUGAUACUGGAUGGCUUGAGGUUGGGAGAGGGAUGCGGAAUUCCAGGUGUAGCGGUGAAAUGCGUAGAUAUCUGGAGGAACACCGGUGGCGAAGGCGGCAUCCUGGACCAAUUCUGACACUGAGGAGCGAAGCCAAGGGCAGGACAACAGGGAUAGAAACCCAUCGUAGCCA
rnacentral:rRNA from 1 species